GUUGUAUGGUUAAGUGACUAAGCGUACACGGUGGAUGCCUUGGCAGUCAGAGGCGAUGAAGGACGUAUUAACUUGCGAUAAGCCCAGAUUAGGCAGUAAAAGCCACUUGAGUCUGGGAUUUCCGAAUGGGGAAACCCACUUACAUAAGUAAGUAUCCUGUUGUGAAUACAUAGCAACAGGAGGCGAACCGGGGGAACUGAAACAUCUAAGUACCCCGAGGAA
rnacentral:rRNA from 1 species